rnacentral:rRNA from 1 species
CCUACGGGAGGCUGCAGUGGGGAAUAUUGCACAAUGGGGGAAACCCUGAUGCAGCGACGCCGCGUGAGUGAAGAAGUAAUUCGUUAUGUAAAGCUCUAUCAGCAGGGAAGAAAAUGACGGUACCUGAGUAAGAAGCCCCGGCUAACUACGUGCCAGCAGCCGCGGUAAUACGUAGGGGGCAAGCGUUAUCCGGAUUUACUGGGUGUAAAGGGAGCGUAGACGGCAGUGCAAGUAUGGAGUGAAAGGCGGGGGCGCAACCCCCGGACUGCUCUGGAAACUGUACGGCGGGAGUGCAGGAGAGGUAAGUGGAAUUCCUAGUGUAGCGGUGAAAUGCGUAGAUAUUAGGAGGAACACCAGUGGCGAAGGCGGCUUACUGGACUGUAACUGACGUUGAGGCUCGAAAGCGUGGGGAGCAAACAGGAUUAGAUACCCCUGUAGUC